GUCUAAUACUGGAUAUGUGACGUGACCGCAUGGUCUGCGUCUGGAAAGAAUUUCGGUUGGGGAUGGGCUCGCGGCCUAUCAGCUUGUUGGUGAGGUAAUGGCUCACCAAGGCGUCGACGGGUAGCCGGCCUGAGAGGGUGACCGGCCACACUGGGACUGAGACACGGCCCAGACUCCUACGGGAGGCAGCAGUGGGGAAUAUUGCACAAUGGGCGCAAGCCUGAUGCAGCAACGCCGCGUGAGGGACGACGGCCUUCGGGUUGUAAACCUCUUUUAGCAGGGAAGAAGCGAAAGUGACGGUACCUGCAGAAAAAGCGCCGGCUAACUACGUGCCAGCAGCCGCGGUAAUACGUAGGGCGCAAGCGUUAUCCGGAAUUAUUGGGCGUAAAGAGCUCGUAGGCGGUUUGUCGCGUCUGCUGUG
rnacentral:rRNA from 2 species